UAUUUUGAAGGCCAGAAGAGAGAAGAGGGAAAAUUUGUGAUGAAAUCCUGAAUCCACACCGCAGGCGGUCCUGUCGCCAACAAAAUUUGGGGGAAAACAAAGAUGACAAUGAUCGUAACCCACACGGCCAUGGCUUUCCAAAAUCUGGUCAUGGCCAGGUCAAAUUUGCCUAAAUCAAGCCAAUGGCGGAGAAUCGCCUUUCUUCAUUUGUCUGUUAUGUUUGUUAUCUUCUCCUUAGCUUACUACCUUCGUGCUGCUCCUCCUUCCCCCACCCCACCGCUCUCUCAAACCAAAAUAUUGGGUUACAUUCAAGCGGCUGCGGCACCAAGAUCCUGAGCGGCUUUGCAAAAUGCCUCCCUCCACGCAUCAACCUGAUGAUGGGUUUCCCUUGAACACCACGGCCGUCGCCAUUGACAAGGAUAAGAAUAGCCAACACGCCGUACAGUGGGCUAUUGAUCAUCUCGUCAUAAGCAACCCGCUUAUCAUUCUCAUCCACGUUAGGCAUAAAACCAAUCAACAUCAGGGCGCAAGCGAUUCUGAAAAUGGCGAAAUUGAUGCGCAGCAGCUGUUUGUUCCCUAUCGUGGAUAUUGUGCGCGUAAAGGGGUUCAGCUGAAGGAGGUUGUUCUUGACGAUACCGAUACUCCCAAAGCACUCGUCGACUACGUUCACAAGAAUUGCAUCAACAAUUUUGUAGUUGGAGCUUCAACAAGGAGCGCUAUAGCAAGGAAAUUUAAAGGUCCUGAUAUUCCGACCAGCAUAAUAAAAACUGCCCCGGACUUUUGUUCUGUAUAUGUAAUAUCAAAGGGGAAGAUAAUAUCUGCCAGGGCUGCUCUUCGGCCAGUGGCGAAUACUGCCAUGCCACCAAGACAACCAUCACCGCUUGGAAUGCAGCCAAAUAAUCAACCAGACAGCAACAAUGAACAAGAAAAUGGAGCCAAAGGGCAACCAGCAAGGGAAGGUUGGAAGACUGCAGCUACAGAGAGAAUGCUCAAUGAAAGGAAUGGUGCAAAGCCGGCAAAAGCGUUGACUCGUGAGAGGCCAAAAACUUCUCCGGCUAAUAUAACAUUGGAAAAUAUUGAGGCUCCAAAUCGAGGUUCUAGGCCUUCAUUUAGUCGUGAUUCGGUCUCUGACGAACAUAUGUUGACAGCACAGAUUCCUUUUGGAUCAAUGGAUGCGAUUGGUCAAAAUUUAGAUUUUAGUUCUAGCUCAGUUGGUUCAAUGGACUCUGCUUCUGCACAAUCGACUCGAGAACUAGAGGCCGAGAUGAAAAGAUUGAAGCUGGAAUUAAAGCAAACCAUGGAUAUGUAUAGCUCAGCCUGCAAAGAGGCAAUCUCAGCCAAGAACAAGGCAAGAGAACUUAGUCAGUGGAAGCAAGACGAGGCACGUAAGUUUGAAGAAGUCAGACUAGCUGAAGAGGCUGCUCUUGCUAUUGCGGAGAUGGAGAAAGCCAAGUGCAAAGCUGCCAUUGAAGCAGCGGAGGCAGCGCAAAAGCUAGCCGAAAGAGAAGCCCAGAGAAGAAAACAGGCUGAAAUGAAGGCCAGAAAAGAGACCGAAGAGAAAAAACGAGCAUUGAAUGCUCUAGCACAGAACGACGUCCGUUAUAGAAAAUACACCAUAGAGGAGAUAGAGGAAUCUACUGAAAUGUUCUCUGAAAAAUUGAAGAUUGGAGAAGGUGGAUAUGGUCCUGUUUAUGGAGGCAAACUUGAUCAUACCGCCGUUGCGAUUAAAGUUUUAAGACCCGACGCUGCUCAAGGACGGAAGCAAUUCCAACAAGAGGUGGAGGUCCUCUGUUGUAUUAGACAUCCAAACAUGGUGCUCCUUCUUGGGGCAUGCCCUGAGUAUGGUUGCUUGGUGUAUGAGUACAUGCAUAAUGGGAGCUUAGAAGACAGACUCUUCCGGAGAGGGAAUACUCCUCCAAUCUCUUGGAGACGACGAUUCAAGAUAGCUGCUGAAAUCGCAACCGCACUCCUUUUUCUUCACCAAGCAAAGCCAGAGCCACUGGUGCAUAGGGACCUUAAACCAGCCAACAUUCUCUUGGACCGCAAUUACGUGAGCAAAAUCAGUGAUGUUGGCCUGGCUCGGUUAGUCCCUCCUUCGGUUGCUGAUCAAGUCACCCAAUAUCAUCUGACUUCAGCAGCUGGCACGUUUUGUUACAUCGAUCCUGAGUACCAACAAACAGGACAGUUAACAACAAAAUCAGAUAUUUACUCUUUUGGAAUAAUGUUACUUCAAAUCAUUACUGCCAAACCUCCAAUGGGUCUAGCUCACCAUGUUCAAAGGGCUAUCGAAAAAGAGCGGUUCAAUGAGAUGCUGGAUCCUACAAUUUCAGAUUGUCCAUUGGAGGAGGCUAUACAUUUUGCAGAACUGGCUUUGAAGUGCGCUGAACUGAGGAAGAGAGACAGACCAGAUCUUGGAACUGUUAUAGUUCCAGAGCUCAACAGGUUAAGAGAUCUCGGGAGGAGUUCUGACAAACGCGAUGGUCGGAAUCAGUUUCCACGCUCUGCCGCAUCGAGUUCCAGUUUGAGGGCGCAGUCAUCGAAUGAGGAUUCGGGAAAUAGUUAUACUGAUGAAUGAAGUUAGAGGCCUGCCUAACCCAUAGGAGGAAAGUUACUUGAUUCCAUGACUGAUUACAGAAGGGCUGUGGUAGCAGAAUAUGAAGUUUAUGGAGUUCUUUGUUUGGACGUGGAAGAAGCAGAAGGAUCAAUACUGCGAUGAAACUCGUCUCUUCGAGAUCUUAUCAAUGCUAGGAAGAGGGAAGCUGUGUGGAAUAUUACUUAUUGAAUCAACAGGGAAUUCCCAGGAAGGAACAGAGCAGCCCAUGGCGGGAAGAAAAGGAUCAAACAGAGCAUAAACAAAAGGAUUAAAGUGCUUAAAGGUUGAUUAUGUUCUGAGAAAGGUAUAAGCUCUAUGUUAUGCUUUUAGUACCCAAUUCAAGCUUCCAGCUUUUAGAUGAACUCCUUUGCCAUUAUAUAGAUCUUUGGAAUAAAGAUGCUGAAUCUUUCCUUUUUUGUUCCUAAAUUUGAUUCUUUCAUAUUGUUCCAUAAAGUAAAAAAAAGUUAUUGUUUUUAUGAAUGUUUUUGAUUUAUAAGCAAUCCAUUUCAACUCCC